AGUCUAUUGGUGUAAGGGUUAACAUCCUGGAUUGUCGAUCCGGAGAAACGGGUUCGAAUCCCGUAUAGACUGCUA
rnacentral:tRNA from 1 species